rnacentral:lncRNA from 1 species
AAUCCUCAUCCUCAUCUUUUCUCUAGCUUCACAUAACAUUCUCUUGAUGUCUUCUUCUUUCUUUCUAGUUUCUCUGAAGAACAUCCACAAUCUGUGGGUAUAAUAGGCCUCUUCAAAUGGUUUAUCUAGAGGAAUUCUGAAGACUCUCUUUCAGAAAUUUUCCUUUUCCUUUUCAUUAGCCCCCCUCUUCAAAUGUUUCGCCACUUUUUCCUUUCUUCUCCUUAGGGUUCUU